UGCAACAGCAGCAACAGAAAUCAUUAAAGUGCUGUUGUAAUUCCUACAUUUUAUAAUUUAAAAGAAUAUUCAUUUUACCCAAUCUCCAUACUCCAAGAACUAUUGUGUAUAUUCAUAAAUUAUUAGAGAUAAUAUACUAUCAUAGUCAUUGUGCCAAGGCCAAUGUGAACAAAGAAAAUGGGUGAAUUAGAAUUAGUGGCAUAUAAAAUUGGGAGGCACAAAGCAUUUACCGCUUCAUUUUUCUAAUCCUAAGGAAGAAUCUCUUCAAGGCGUGUCCAGCAGUAACACUGUCGAGCAGAAAGGGACACAGAACUAGUAAGAACAGAACUUAAUAACACAGACACAGAACUAGUGACUAAUAAGAACAUGAAUUCCUUCUAAGGCUCAAAUUCUUCAAAAUCGAUAAUUCCAGGAAUAGCCUGGCUCCCAGAUUCUUACUAUAUACACUUUUAUCAUUAGACCACAGAGACCAGAGUUGAAUUUCUUGUUUUUUUUUUUUUUCCCCAGAUUAUUACAACUAUAAGGAAAACAUUUGCCCAGACUUCUUUUCCUUAGAAGAAUGACUCAGAAUUCUAUUCCCUGUAACAUUAGCACCAUGAGCCUCCUUAUCAACAAAAUACAGUGUAAGAUGUGAUUCAAUUUAUAUUUUUUAGAUAGCACAGCUUCUUGUCACUGAGUCAAAUAUGUAUUUUGAGGGAAAACAUAUUUUUAACAAUUAAUCAACAUUUAACCUAAUAACUCUCAUUCUAAUGAACCUCAAUUAUAGUAAUAAAUGAUUUGUACUCAUUGUUAACAUCAAUUACACUCUUGGAUACACUUUUUGCUACUUGCUAAUAGAGAGUAGGAGGAAGUGUUUACAUUUUCUUUAAAAGAGGGAGAACCUGUGAUACAGUUAGUGCAUAGGCUAACUUAAAUAUUUAGAAAGUGAGAAAAACCUUCGUGAUUUACUUUAUACGGUUUAAACCAUUUCUUAGAAAUUUGCAGAUGAUAUUAAAAAAGAAAAUGAUACCAAUAUUCUUAUGUCUGUAAUACUACAUUUAUAUUUCAAUGGUGAAUAAGAAGCACAUAGUUCUGCACUUU
rnacentral:lncRNA from 1 species